rnacentral:rRNA from 1 species
GAAUAUUGGACAAUGGGCGCAAGCCUGAUCCAGCAACGCCGCGUGAGGGAUGACGGCCUUCGGGUUGUAAACCUCUUUCGCCUGUGACGAAGCGCAAGUGACGGUAACAGGUAAAGAAGCACCGGCCAACUACGUGCCAGCAGCCGCGGUAAUACGUAGGGUGCGAGCGUUGUCCGGAAUUAUUGGGCGGAAAGGGCUCGUAGGCGGUUUGUCGCGUCGGGAGUGAAAACCAGGUGCUUAACACCUGGCUUGCUUUCGAUACGGGCAGACUAGAGGUAUUCAGGGGAGAACGGAAUUCCUGGUGUAGCGGUGAAAUGCGCAGAUAUCAGGAGGAACACCGGUGGCGAAGGCGGUUCUCUGGGAAUGACCUGACGCUGUGGAGCGAAAGUAUGGGGAGCGAACAGG